UCCAGACUCCUACGGGAGGCAGCAGUGGGGAAUAUUGCACAAUGGGGGAAAUCCUGAUGCAGCGACGCCGCGUGAGCGAUGAAGUAUUUCGGUAUGUAAAGCUCUAUCAGCAGGGAAGAAGAUGACGGUACCUGACUAAGAAGCCCCGGCUAACUACGUGCCAGCAGCCGCGGUAAUACGUAGGGGGCAAGCGUUAUCCGGAUUUACUGGGUGUAAAGGGAGCGUAGACGGCGGCGCAAGCCAGAUGUGAAAGCCCGGGGCUCAACUCCGGGACUGCAUUUGGAACUGUGUGGCUGGAGUGUCGGAGAGGCAGGCGGAAUUCCUGGUGUAGCGGUGAAAUGCGUAGAUAUCAGGAGGAACACCGGUGGCGAAGGCGGCCUGCUGGACUGCAACUGACGUUGAGGCCCGAAAGCGUGGGGAGCAAACAGGAUUAGAUACCCGAGUAGC
rnacentral:rRNA from 1 species